UACGUAGGGUGCGAGCGUUGUCCGGAAUUACUGGGCGUAAAGAGCUCGUAGGCGGUGUGUCGCGUCGGCCGUGAAAACCUGCAGCUUAACUGUGGGCGUGCGGUCGAUACGGGCAUCACUGGAGUUCGGCAGGGGAGACUGGAAUUCCUGGUGUAGCGGUGAAAUGCGCAGAUAUCAGGAGGAACACCGGUGGCGAAGGCGGGUCUCUGGGCCGAUACUGACGCUGAGGAGCGAAAGCGUGGGUAGCAAACAGG
rnacentral:rRNA from 1 species